GCUAGCUUCAGCAGCAGGUAUUUAAAUUGGAAUGAUACAGAGAGGAUUAGCCGAGUCCCUGCAUGAGGAGAGCGAGCAAAUUCAUGAAGCCUUCCAAUAUUUA